rnacentral:rRNA from 1 species
GAUGAACGCUAGCGACAGGCUUAACACAUGCAAGUCGAGGGGCAUCACGGGUAGCAAUACCUGGUGGCGACCGGCGGACGGGUGAGUAACACGUAUGCAACCUUCCCUUCACCGGGAGAUAUCCCAUGGAAACGUGGAUUAAUAUCCCAUACAGUCAUAAAGCCUCCUGGCUUUUUGAUGAAAGAAUUUCGGUGAUGUGAUGGGCAUGCGUCCUAUUAGGUAGUAGGCGGGGUAACGGCCACCUAGCCGACGAUAGGUAGGGGUUCUGAGAGGAAGGUCCCCCACACUGGAACUGAGACACGGUCCAGACUCCUACGGGAGGCAGCAGUGAGGAAUAUUGGUCAAUGGCCUGACGGCUGAACCAGCCAAGUCGCGUGAGGGAUGACUGCCCUAUGGGUUGUAAACCUCUUUUGUUUGAGAAGAAUAAGAACCACGUGUGGUUCGAUGCCAGUAUCGAACGAAUAAGCAUCGGCUAACUCCGUGCCAGCCGCCGCAGUAACAC